UACGGAGGGUGCAAGCGUUAUCCGGAUUCACUGGGUUUAAAGGGUGCGUAGGCGGACUGGUAAGUCAGUGGUGAAAUCCUGUUGCUCAACAACAGAACUGCCAUUGAUACUGCCAGUCUUGAGUACAGUUGAGGUAGGCGGAAUGUGUCAUGUAGUGGUGAAAUACUUAGAUAUGACACAGAACACCGAUUGCGAAGGCAGCUUGCUAAACUGUAACUGACGCUGAGGCACGAAAGCAUGGGAGCAAACAGG
rnacentral:rRNA from 1 species